UACGGAGGGUGCAAGCGUUGUUCGGAAUCACUGGGCGUAAAGCGCGUGUAGGCGGUCCGCUAAGUCUGGUGUGAAAGCCCGGGGCUCACCCCCGGAAGGGCACUGGAAACUGGCGGACUCGAGUCCCGGAGAGGAGGGUGGAAUUCCUGGUGUAGCGGUGAAAUGCGUAGAUAUCAGGAGGAACACCGGUGGCGAAGGCGGCCCUCUGGACGGUGACUGACGCUGAGACGCGAAAGCGUGGGGAGCAAACAGG
rnacentral:rRNA from 1 species